rnacentral:rRNA from 1 species
CCCUUUAACAAUAAAACCCUGAACACGCCCGAUCUCGUCCGAUCUCGGAAGCUAAGCAGGGUCGGGCCUGGUUAGUACUUGGAUGGGAGACCGCCUGGGAAUACCAGGUGCUGUAAGCU